rnacentral:rRNA from 1 species
CCGGCCGCCGCACGGAGCUCGCAAAGUUCGGAUCCGCAAGGACCGGGCCAGCGGGACGUCCGCGUGGCAGGGUGCACUUUCUCCGCGGUCGAGUGCUACGACCGGUUUCGCGGCGGUCAGAAGCCCGGCGGAAAGGUAGCGCCGCCCCUCGGGGUGUCGUGUUAUAGGCCGCCGCGGUGGACUCGCCGCGAGACCGAGGACGCUUGCCGCGCCGAGCGGUCCCGGGCCGUCUGGGGAGGUUCGACCUCGGCUGCACUGCUCCGCAGAGCACCGUAACCGCCGCCCUAGCACGGGUCCGGAGACUGCCGGCGCCUCGGGUCAGUAGCG